rnacentral:rRNA from 1 species
GACGAACGCUGGCGGCGUGCUUAACACAUGCAAGUCGAACGGAAAGGCCUCUUUCGGGGGGUACUCGAGUGGCGAACGGGUGAGUAACACGUGAGUAACCUGCCCUUGACUUUGGGAUAACUUCAGGAAACUGGGGCUAAUACCGGAUAGGAGCUCCUGCUGCAUGGUGGGGGUUGGAAAGUUUCGGCGGUUGGGGAUGGACUCGCGGCUUAUCAGCUUGUUGGUGGGGUAGUGGCUUACCAAGGCUUUGACGGGUAGCCGGCCUGAGAGGGUGACCGGCCACAUUGGGACCGAGAUACGGCCCAGACUCCUACGGGAGGCAGCAGUGGGGAAUAUUGCACAAUGGGUGGAAGCCUGAUGCAGCAACGCCGUGUGCGGGAUGACGGCCUUCGGGUUGUAAACCGCUUUCGCUCAUGACGAAGCUUUGUGUGACGGUAGUGGGUAAAGAAGCACCGGCUAACUACGUG